UGCUUCUUCUGAAUCAUCUCUGCUACAACUCUGAGUGUGUCAAAGCUUAGACAUGCAGCACUAAGUCCAGCACUGGCACAAGCCACCCCAUCAAUGUGGUCCAUCCACUUGUGAAACCUGGAGUGUACAACCACCACUAAUUCCAGACAGAUCAGCAUUACUAGAAAAUACAUCAGUAAUGCCCAUUUCCAUGAACAAAUCUUUGACAUCAUAAGACCCACUAAUGGAAAUCCUUGGUACUAUGUCUCUCACCAUGAGUUAACCUGAUAGCCGCAGCUGCAUGAGAUGUGUGGCUCCCUCUAGAGCAGCAGGAAGGACCUGAGUCCAUCCAUUAAUUCUGGAAUGUAUUUUUAACUGGAAAUGAAAAAAUUAAUUCAGUGCUAAACCACAGGUUAGUUUGUCUAUGAGAAUAAUAGAUGCAAUUAAAUUUAAAUUCAUCCACCCCUAUGCUCAAAACAGUCCUUACUAGGGAGCUUGGCAUUAGAAAUUAGUUGGUUUACAUAUUAAGGCAACAGAAGAAUUUAUGUGUGGACCUAGUUGUUCAGUUACUAGUGGGAUGAUGGUAAUUAUGAGUCACAGCAAAGCUUGUAUUCAACAUAAAAGGUGAUUUCAUCAACAUUCUGCUUUGCAAACCUUAUUAGGAGUCCCCAUGACUGUUGUUUGAUUCUAAUUUUGGGUCAUAUUCACUUAGACUAGUACAUCCCACUGGUCCCUUACUUACAAAUUAAUAUUUCAUAACAGCGUCCACACAUAAAAAAUUUACAAGAACACAGGUGUAAUAAACCUAACAUGAAAAGUCACCAAGCACAGAAAGCAUCUCUUUCAGGUCUUUGCAGUACUUACAAAAGCAGAAGCCCUGCUGCAAUCAACAGACCACACUUUUCUCGACACUGUUAUUUGUACUGCUAAAUGGUUUUCUGCUUAAUUUCCACUGUUAAAUAUUAAACAGACCUGAUAUAGCACAAGACAGAACAACAACAACAACAACAAAAUGACAGGGGAGGGAGACAGAGGUGAGACGAGAGGAGAGCAAAUAUUGAUUACACAGUAUUUCCAAAGAUAGUUUCUGCAAUUUGGUCAAGCUGGAGAAUUUUUGAAGAAAUCAUGCUUUUUGAACAGUGGCUGUGACUUUCUGUCUGCUCCCCCUGGUCAUGUAGAGGAGCUUAGUGUAAACAUUGUAUAAUUGGGACCCUACUGGAAACCAGGUUUGGUUGGCACCAAACUAAUGUUUGGUCAGCAAAAUACUUUGCUGCAGGUCAGUGUUCUCCAAAACUCUGAUCACAGCCAAAUAUUCCUCCUGGUCUUGAAACUGAAUAGGGACACAAAAUUGUCUGCACACCCUCUGUCUGAUUCUAGUAAUGAUGCCAAUGAUGACAUGAAAUACAUUUCCCUAUUUGUGACCACUUUUCCCUUAUAUGUAAAUAAUCUAGUCAAUUCACUGAUAAACAAAGAAAUAGAAUAUACAUAGACAAACCUUGUCUUGAUAUUCUCCCUUCCUUGUUUUCCUCUUUCCUUCUUUUCCUCCUCUUUCUUUGAAUUUAUUUCCUCUAGCUGUAAUUGCUCACAGUCACAGAGAUUAUUUUACUUGUCAAAGCCUAGGUGAAUGAAAGGUCAUGGUGGUCAAGGACAAAUUGUUACAAAAUGGGCACAUACCUCUUGUUUUCUUUUCAUUUGGGAGGGUCUGUAAUUACUGUCCAGUUUACAAUGCUGUUGGAACACAUUUUAACAAGGUACUUCCCUUCCAUUUCUUCAUAACAGGAGGUAUAAGAUGCAACAUUGAUUUUAAACUAAAAUGUGUGUUGGGUGUGACCUGCAAUGCCAUGAGCCAGUAACAGUCCCACCUUCCUGCUAAUCACAGUUUCAGCUCCCAAACUAUGUCAUGAAACCACAUUAACCAGAUUUAUAUUGGUCAUUCCUUUACUGAACUAGAUUCUACAUCCUAAUUAAUCAAUUUUAAUGUGAAUAAAAUUCCAGAAUACUUAAAUAACCAAGGAUGUGUGGUUUACUACUGCUGAUCAUUAAGACCACAGUCAACUUUUUAAAACUCCACAUAACUAUGUAAUCUGUGUUAAUGUUGUGUACUUCAUAUAUAUGUAUCCACAUCCCAUCUCAGACUUCAACACCCUUAGGAGAAAUCUAACCAUACAGUAUUUCAUGCUUCUACAGACAUUUUGCAGACAGCUUUCUGACAGUUUCUUUUGUUCCAAACUUGCUGAGUAUUUCUGAAGACCAAACAGUGGAUGUGAGCACAGUGAGGCAGUGGGUGGGGCAUUUCAGCAGUGGCAACAAUGACAGCAGAUCACCUCCAUUAGUGCAGAUUUUUAUGAGAACGGCUCAUAUAGGCUCUUGUAAAUCUUUGGCAAAAACACAUGGUUAAUGGUGGUGAGUAGUUAAAAAAUAAUAAUAAUGUUUUGUACCUGAGGAUGUUCUCUAUCAAAUAGUAUUCUUUUACUUUUUGUAUCUGCUCCAGAUUCUAUGGAAAUAAAUAGGAGGCAUUGCUUUUGGAGAGACCUAAACACUACAGCAGUGGCAAUGACCAGGAGUUACAAUAAUCACCAGCUUUUAGGUUACAAGAUCAAUUCCAGUUACAAAUUGCCUACUACAAUAUAGCAGGCGUCUUACCUGUAUUACCUACCAGUAACAAGUAAACCUCCUGCUGCUGUUUCAACAUUAUGUAGGCUGGUAUACAAGACAAAACUUUCCAGAUGACAGGAGCCCUCCUGAAAAGGGAGCAGAAGAGUAGACAGCACCUUCUAGCACUAGAAACUUUUGUUCAGAUCUCAGAUUCUUUUAAAAGAUCAUCAGUUUUUUAUUAUUUCUGUAUUUAUCAGCUUUUCGUGGAAAUUCUUUUCAGACUUGUGUGCUUGUGU